AUUGAACGCUGGCGGCAUGCCUUACACAUGCAAGUCGAACGGUAACAGGUCUUCGGAUGCUGACGAGUGGCGAACGGGUGAGUAAUACAUCGGAACGUGCCUAGUAGUGGGGGAUAACUACUCGAAAGAGUGGCUAAUACCGCAUGAGAUCUACGGAUGAAAGCAGGGGAUCGCAAGACCUUGUGCUACUAGAGCGGCCGAUGGCAAAUUAGGUAGUUGGUGGGAUAAAAGCUUACCAAGCCGACGAUCUGUAGCUGGUCUGAGAGGGCGAUCAGCCACACUGGAACUGAGACGCGGCCCAGACUCCUACGGGGGGCAGCAGUGGGGAAUUUUGGACAAUGGGCGCAAGCCUGAUCCAGCAAUGCCGCGUGCAGGAUGAAGGCCUUCGGGUUGUAAACUGCUUUUGUACGGAACGAAAAGCCCUGGGUUAAUACCCUGGGGUCAUGACGGUACCGUAAGAAUAAGCACCGGCUAACUACGUGCCAGCCGCCGCCGUAAGAC
rnacentral:rRNA from 1 species